rnacentral:rRNA from 1 species
CUACGGGGUGCAGCAGUGAGGAAUAUUGGACAAUGGGCGCAAGCCUGAUCCAGCCAUGCCGCGUGAGUGAAGAAGGCCUUAGGGUUGUAAAGCUCUUUCAGUAGUGAAGAUAAUGACGGUAACUACAGAAGAAGCUCCGGCUAAAUUCGUGCCAGCAGCCGCGGUAAUACGAAUGGAGCAAGCGUUGUUCGGAAUCACUGGGCUUAAAGCGUGCGCAGGCGGAAAUGAAAGUCAGAAGUGAAAUCCCAGGGCUCAACCCUGGAACUGCUUUUGAAACUUCAUUUCUAGAAUCCGAUAGAGGUAAGGAGAAUUCCUAGUGUAGAGGUGAAAUUCGCAGAUAUUAGGAGGAAUACCAGUGGCGUAGGCGCCUUACUGGGUCGGUAUUGACGCUCAUGUACGAAAGCGUGGGGAGCAAACAGGAUUAGAUACCCCCGUAGUC